rnacentral:rRNA from 1 species
CCUACGGGUGGCAGCAGUGGGGGAUAUUGCACAAUGGGGGGAACCCUGAUGCAGCGACGCCGCGUGGGUGAGGAAGCGCUUCGGCGUGUAAAGCUCUGUCAGCAGGGAAGAAAAUGACGGUACCUGAAGAAGAAGCCCCGGCUAACUACGUGCCAGCAGCCGCGGUAAUACGUAGGGGGCAAGCGUUAUCCGGAUUUACUGGGUGUAAAGGGGGCGCAGACGGCGUUGCAAGUCAGAGGUGAAAGCCCGGGGCCCAACCCCGGGACUGCACUUGGAACUGCAUGGCUGGAGUGCCGGAGGGGCAAGCGGAAUUCCUGGUGUAGCGGUGAAAUGCGUAGAUAUCAGGAGGAACACCGGUGGCGAAGGCGGCCUGCUGGACUGCGACUGACGUUGAGGCCCGAAAGCGUGGGGAGCAAACAGGAUUAGAUACCCCUGUAGUC